rnacentral:rRNA from 1 species
UACAGAGGGGCAAGCGUUGUUCGGAAUUACUGGGCGUAAAGGGCGCGUAGGCGGCCUACUAAGUCAGACGUGAAAUCCCCCGGCUUAACCUGGGAACUGCGUCUGAUACUGGAAGGCUUGAGGAUGGGAGAGGGAUGUAGAAUUCCAGGUGUAGCGGUGAAAUGCGUAGAUAUCUGGAGGAAUACCGGUGGCGAAGGCGGCAUCCUGGACCAUUACUGACACUGAGGCACGAAAGCGUGGGUAGCAAACAGG